GGAAAGGCGCGCGAUACAGGGUGACAGCCCCGUACACAAAAAUGCACAUGCUGUGAGCUCGAUGAGUAGGGCGGGACACGUGGUAUCCUGUCUGAAUAUGGGGGGACCAUCCUCCAAGGCUAAAUACUCCUGACUGACCGAUAGUGAACCAGUACCGUGAGGGAAAGGCGAAAAGAACCCCGGCGAGGGGAGUGAAAAAGAACCUGAAACCGUGUACGUACAAGCAGUGGGAGCACGCUUAGGCGUGUGACUGCGUACCUUUUGUAUAAUGGGUCAGCGACUUAUAUUCUGUAGCAAGGUUAACCGAAUAGGGGAGCCGAAGGGAAACCGAGUCUUAACUGGGCGUUAAGUUGCAGGGUAUAGACCCGAAACCCGGUGAUCUAGCCAUGGGCAGGUUGAAGGUUGGGUAACACUAACUGGAGGACCGAACCGACUAAUGUUGAAAAAUUAGCGGAUGACUUGUGGCUGGGGGUGAAAGGCCAAUCAAACCGGGAGAUAGCUGGUUCUCCCCGAAAGCUAUUUAGGUAGCGCCUCGUGAAUUCAUCUCCGGGGGUAGAGCACUGUUUCGGCAAGGGGGUCAUCCCGACUUACCAACCCGAUGCAAACUGCGAAUACCGGAGAAUGUUAUCACGGGAGACACACGGCGGGUGCUAACGUCCGUCGUGAAGAGGGAAACAACCCAGACCGCCAGCUAAGGUCCCAAAGUCAUGGUUAAGUGGGAAACGAUGUGGGAAGGCCCAGACAGCCAGGAUGUUGGCUUAGAAGCAGCCAUCAUUUAAAGAAAGCGUAAUAGCUCACUGGUCGAGUCGGCCUGCGCGGAAGAUGUAACGGGGCUAAACCAUGCACCGAAGCUGCGGCAGCGACGCUGAUGCGUUGUUGGGUAGGGGAGCGUUCUGUAAGCCUGCGAAGGUGUGCUGUGAGGCAUGCUGGAGGUAUCAGAAGUGCGAAUGCUGACAUAAGUAACGAUAAAGCGGGUGAAAAGCCCGCUCGCCGGAAGACCAAGGGUUCCUGUCCAACGUUAAUCGGGGCAGGGUGAGUCGACCCCUAAGGCGAGGCCGAAAGGCGUAGUCGAUGGGAAACAGGUUAAUAUUCCUGUACUUGGUGUUACUGCGAAGGGGGGACGGAGAAGGCUAUGUUGGCCGGGCGACGGUUGUCCCGGUUUAAGCGUGUAGGCUGGUUUUCCAGGCAAAUCCGGAAAAUCAAGGCUGAGGCGUGAUGACGAGGCACUGCGGUGCUGAAGCAACAAAUGCCCUGCUUCCAGGAAAAGCCUCUAAGCAUCAGGUAACAUCAAAUCGUACCCCAAACCGACACAGGUGGUCAGGUAGAGAAUACCAAGGCGCUUGAGAGAACUCGGGUGAAGGAACUAGGCAAAAUGGUGCCGUAACUUCGGGAGAAGGCACGCUGAUAUGUAGGUGAAGUCCCUCGCGGAUGGAGCUGAAAUCAGUCGAAGAUACCAGCUGGCUGCAACUGUUUAUUAAAAACACAGCACUGUGCAAACACGAAAGUGGACGUAUACGGUGUGACGCCUGCCCG
rnacentral:rRNA from 1 species